rnacentral:rRNA from 1 species
GACGAACGCUGGCGGCGUGCUUAACACAUGCAAGUCGAGCGGUAAGGCCCUUUCGGGGGUACACGAGCGGCGAACGGGUGAGUAACACGUGGGUGACCUGCCCUUAGCUCUGGGAUAAGCCUGGGAAACUGGGUCUAAUACCGGAUAUGACUCCAUGAUGCAUGUUGUGGGGUGGAAAGCCUUGUGCGGCUAGGGAUGGGCCUGCGGCCUAUCAGCUUGUUGGUGGGGUGAGGCCUACCAAGGCGACGACGGGUAGCCGGCCUGAGAGGGCGACCGGCCACACUGGGACUGAGACACGGCCCAGACUCCUACGGGAGGCAGCAGUGGGGAAUCUUGCGCAAUGGGCGAAAGCCUGACGCAGCGACGCCGCGUGGGGAUGACGGCCU